rnacentral:lncRNA from 1 species
CAUUAUUCUUACACUGUAUAUUAAUAUAUAAAUGUAAGCAUAAAUCGUCCUCUUUGAGAACAAAUGACUCUUUGUGAUUAUAAAAGGCUAUACUAUAUUACAUUAUAUAUUGUCAUUCUUUAGGUCAUACAUGUACUGUUAUCAUAAUAGUAUCAUUAUUCUUACACUGUAUAUUAAUGUAUAAAUGUAAGCAUAAAUCGUCCUCUUUGAGGACAAAUGACUCUUUGUGGUUAUAAAAGGCUAUACUAUAUUACAUUAUAUAUUGAUAGUUCCUUUUGUCAUACAUGUACUGUUAUCAUAAUUGUAUCAUUAUUCUUACACUGUAUAUUAAUAUAUAAAUGUAAGCAUAAAUCGUCCUCUUUGAGAACAAAUAACUCUUUGUGGUUAUAAAAGACUAUAAUACAUUACAUAUAUAUUGAUAGUUCCUUUUGUCAUACAUGUACUGUUAUCAUAAUUGUAUCAUUAUUCUUACACUGUAUAUGAAUAUAUAAUUGUCAACAUUAAUCGUUCUCUUUGAGAACAAAUAACAUAAAGGCGUUGAAAAAUCUGAAAGAAUAGCGGAAAAACUGCUGUCGAACCAUUAAUGUUUAUAUUUUAUUUAAAUCAAGAGUUAUCUUUGUUAUAUUUUUAUGUUAAGCUAUUGUUAAAUGUUUUAAAUUGAUAUAAUGUUAUUUUUACUUAAUAAAACCACUUGUGCUCAAUUCCAAGUUAUUAUGAUAUGUAUUUCAAUGUAUUUAUUAAUCAUAUCCAACAGCAUAGAUUGAAUGCCAAAUGUCACCUAUCUUUACGAAUAGUUACAGAAUAGAAAUGCAUAUCAAAUAUAAAAAAAACAUAGCCGUAAACGAUCACAAAACAAAAGAAUAUAAAAAAAAAUAAAAUUAAUAGCAAUUAAUGAAUAAAUGAAAAAAAACCGCACACAUAAAGAAUAAAUCAAUUAUAAAAUAAAAAAAAAAAACAAUAUCAGGCAAACACACCAACUACCACUCAAAAGCAAUUUGUAUAAUUUUCUGCAAAACCCUUUUUCAAUGUUAAUAAGAUAUGAAAACAGUUAAUAUAUACAAUAACCUUUUGUUAGAUCCUAAUUUGGUUACUAGAUGUUAAUUUUAACUGAAGGACCAUAUGGUUUCAAUGACAUGGCACAUAUUCAAAAACAUACAUGAAACUUGUUCCGGGGUAUUUGACUGUCUUAUUUUAUUAUAUCACUCUCCUACUUAGGAAUCUAAACCAGUAUCCGGACGAAAUCCUUAGAUAAAAAUCAUCAUCUUUUUUAGACCAAGUAGAUAUCAUUUUUCAUUUUUUACAUAGCUUUCUUUUCACUGAAAGAAGGUUGCCGUUUACAA